rnacentral:rRNA from 1 species
CAUUACUGAGUUUACGCUCUACAACCCUUUGUGAACAUACCUAUAACUGUUGCUUCGGCGGGUAGGGUCUCCGUGACCCUCCCGGCCUCCCGCCCCCGGGCGGGUCGGCGCCCGCCGGAGGAUAACCAAACUCUGAUUUAACGACGUUUCUUCUGAGUGGUACAAGCAAAUAAUCAAAACUUUUAACAACGGAUCUCUUGGUUCUGGCAUCGAUGAAGAACGCAGCGAAAUGCGAUAAGUAAUGUGAAUUGCAGAAUUCAGUGAAUCAUCGAAUCUUUGAACGCACAUUGCGCCCGCCAGCAUUCUGGCGGGCAUGCCUGUUCGAGCGUCAUUUCAACCCUCAAGCUCUGCUUGGUGUUGGGGCCCUACAGCUGAUGUAGGCCCUCAAAGGUAGUGGCGGACCCUCCCGGAGCCUCCUUUGCGUAGUAACUUUACGUCUCGCACUGGGAUCCGGAGGGACUCUUGCCGUAAAACCCCCAAUUUCCAAAGGUGAC